rnacentral:rRNA from 1 species
AUUGAACGCUGGCGGCAUGCCUUACACAUGCAAGUCGAACGGUAACGCGGGGCAACCUGGCGACGAGUGGCGAACGGGUGAGUAAUGUAUCGGAACGUGCCCAGUUGUGGGGGAUAACUGCUCGAAAGAGCAGCUAAUACCGCAUACGACCUGAGGGUGAAAGCGGGGGAUCGCAAGACCUCGCGCAAUUGGAGCGGCCGAUAUCAGCUUAGGUAGUUGGUGGGGUAAAGGCUCACCAAGCCGACGAUCUGUAGCUGGUCUGAGAGGACGACCAGUCACACUGGGACUGGGACACGGCCCAGACUCCUACGGGAGGCAGCAGUGGGGAAUUUUGGACAAUGGGCGCAAGUCUGAUCCAGCCAUGCCGCGUGCGGGAAGAAGGCCUUCGGGUUGUAAACCGCUUUUGUCAGGGAAGAAAAGGCUCCUUCUAAUAUAGGGGGCUCAUGACGGUACCUGAAGAAUAAGCACCGGCUAACUACGUGCCAGCCGCCGCCGUAAAAC